GACGAACGCUGGCGGCGUGCUUAACACAUGCAAGUCGAACGGAAAGGCCCUGCUUUUGUGGGGUGCUCGAGUGGCGAACGGGUGAGUAACACGUGAGUAACCUGCCCUUGACUUUGGGAUAACUUCAGGAAACUGGGGCUAAUACCGGAUAGGAGCUCCUGCUGCAUGGUGGGGGUUGGAAAGUUUCGGCGGUUGGGGAUGGACUCGCGGCUUAUCAGCGUGUUGGUGGGGUAGUGGCUUACCAAGGCUUUGACGGGUAGCCGGCCUGAGAGGGUGACCGGCCACAUUGGGACUGAGAUACGGCCCAGACUCCUACGGGAGGGAGCAGUGGGGAAUAUUGCACAAUGGGCGGAAGCCUGAUGCAGCAACGCCGCGUGCGGGAUGACGGCCUUUGGGUUGUAAACCGCGUUCGCCUGUGACGAAGCGUGAGUGACGGUAAUGGGUAAAGAAGCACCGGCUAACUACGUG
rnacentral:rRNA from 1 species